AUGGCCGAGCCCGAGCCCCCCGCGGCGGCCCGGCGCUGGCGAGACGCCGCCCUGCGCGCACGGAAGCUGCGGAGCAACCUGCGGCAGCUGAGCCUGGGCCCCCGCGAGGAGCCGGAGCCCGCCGGGCCGCCCGUGCUUCGCCGCCCGCCGCUGCCCGCUGGGCCGGGCGAGCCGGUGGCGCUGAGCCUGAGCGGGCGCGGCCUGGAGGAGCUGCCCGAGGGGCUGGGCGCCGCGCUGGGCGGCCUGCGCGUCCUCAGCCUGCGCAGGAACCGCCUGUCCCGGCUUCCCCCCGCGCUGCGCCACCUGGGCCGCCUGGCCGAGCUCGACCUCAGCCACAACCGGCUCGGCGGCCUGGGGGACGGCGAGGCGCUGGCGCCGCUGCGGGAGCUGCGCAAGCUGAGCCUGAGCCACAACCAGCUGGGCGCGGACGGCGCGGCGCUGCCCGGGCGGCUGGGCGCGCUGCGGCAGCUGGAGGAGCUGGACCUGAGCUUCAACCGCCUGCGCCGCCUGCCCGAGGCGCUGGGCCGCCUGCAGCGGCUGCGCUCGCUGGACGUGGACCACAACCAGCUGCCCGCCUUCCCGGCGCCGCUGCUGGAGCUGGGCGCGCUGGAGGAGCUGGACUGCUCUGGCAACCGGCAGCUGCGCGUCCUGCCCGAGGGCAUCGCUGCCUUGCGCUGCCUUAAGAUCCUGUGGCUGAGCGGCACGGGGCUGGGCACCCUGCCCGAGGGACUGUGCCAGCUGGGCGCCCUGGAGAGCCUCAUGCUGGACGGGAACCAACUGCGGGUCCUGCCCCCCGGCUUCGGCCGCCUGCAGCGCCUCAAGAUGCUGAACCUCUCCUCCAACUUGCUGGGUGAGUUCCCCGAGGCCGUGCUUGCCCUGCCCAGCCUGGAGGAGCUCUACCUGAGCCGCAACCAGCUCCCCCUGCUGCCUGCCCGCCUCUGCCAGCUGCAUCAGCUCCGCACCCUCUGGUUGGACAACAACCGCAUCCGCUACCUGCCCGACUCCAUUGUGCAGCUCCACAGCCUGGAGGAACUCGUGCUGCAGGGCAACCAGAUCGCCAUCCUGCCCGAGGGCUUUGGGCAGCUCUCCCGGGUCACCCUCUGGAAGAUCAAGGACAACCCGCUCAUCCAGCCCCCUUACGAGGUUUGCAUGAAGGGCAUCCCCUACAUUGCCGCUUACCAGCAGGAGUUGGCACACUCCCAACCUGCUCUCAAGCCCCGCCUCAAGCUGGUCCUCAUGGGCCUGAAGGAUGCUGGCAAGACCCUGCUGAGAAGGUGCCUGAUGGAGGAGGAGAGGCAGAGAGACUCUACCCUGGCUGCAGCUGGCAAAGAUGCUGGGAGAACCCAGCAGCAACGAGACAUCACCCUGGGCCUGAUUCCCGACGGUGUUGCGAAAAUACAGCUAGGACAUAGCGCCAUUACUGAGCCCCGAGAUGCUUCGUCUGCAAAAGGCUCCUCGCUAGGAUAUGCCUCCAUUGAGCAGCAGGACCCACUGCUGUCCCCGUCCCUUAAAGUUGCUGGGAAAAUCAAGUUAGAGCACCAGGACGGCUGCCUGUCUCCAUCCCCAAAAGUUAAUGGGGAAGCCCAGAUAGGACACUUCCCCAUGCUGCUGGAGCGAGACGCCCCCCUGACACCAUUGGUUGCAGGACUUCCAGGCACCAGCCAGGGCAUCGAGGUGACGGACUGGACGGCAGAUGUAGAGAGGGGUCUGACCUUCAUUGUAUAUGAGCUGGCGGGUGACCCUAGCUACGAUGUGAUCCAAUCCUUCUUCCUUUCGCCAGGAGCCCUGUAUGUGCUGGUGGUGAACCUGAGUGCCUACACCCCACAUUGCUUCUACUCUGCAGUGGGCUACUUCCUGCACUGGCUAGGUGCCAAAGUGCCCCAUGCUGUAGUGUGCAUGGUGGGCACCCAUGCUGACCUGUGUGCUGAGCGGGAACUGGAGGAGAAGUGCCUGGACAUCCACCACCAAAUUGCCCUGCAGGAGAAGCGGGAUGCUGAGGGACUCCAGAGUUUGGCCCAGCAGGUGGACAAUGCCCUAGGACAGGACUUUGACCUGCGUUGCUCCAGCCCCCACACUGCCUUCUAUGGGGUUUCAGACAAGAACCUGCGGCGCAAGAAGGCCCAGUUCCAGUAUCUGCUCAACCACCGGCCGCAGAUCCUCUCGCCGGUGCUGCCCAUCAGCUGCCAGGACCACUACCAGGUGCGCCGCCUGCGGGACAAGCUUCUGUCAGUAGCUGAGCAUCGGGACAUCUUCCCAAACCUGCACCGGGUGCUACCCAAGUCCUGGCAGGUGCUGGAAGAGCUGCACUUCCAGCCGCAGGCUCAGCAACUGUGGCUCAGCUGGUGGGAUUCAGCGCGGCUGGGCUUGCAGGCAGGCCUGACCGAGGAUCGACUCCAGAGCGCCCUGUCCUAUCUGCAUGAAAGUGGCAAGCUGCUGUACUUCGAGGAGCAUCUGACUCUGCGGGAGUAUGUAUUUCACAAUCUGCCCAGGCUCAUUGACAUCCUCAAUGUCUUCUGCCAGCAGGACACCACGGUGCUGCUCCAGAAACUGCUCAGUGACACCCAUAUAGAUGAACUGAGAACCACCCAGCUCCACCACUACGUGGAAGGGUUCCUGCUGCAUGGGCUCCUUCCUGCCCAUGUUAUCCGCCUGCUUCUUAAGCCCCAUAUCCAGAGCCGGGAGGACCUGCAGCUUAUCCUGGAGCUGCUGGAGAAAAUGGGGCUCUGCUACUGCAUCAAUAAGCCCAAAUGCAAACCCCUGAAUGGGGCCACUGCCUGGUACAAGUUCCCCUGCUAUGUGAAGAACGAGGUGCCCCAUGCAGAGGCAUGGAUUAAUGGUACAAACCUGAGUGGACAGUCUCUUGUCAUUGAACAGUUGCAGAUUGAAUACACCUUCCCCUUCAUUUUCCCACCUGGGUUAUUUGCACGCUACAGUGUCCAGAUUAACAGCCAUGUGGUUCAGCGGUCUGAUGGCAAAUAUCAGAUUUAUGCCUACAGGGGGAAGGUGCCUGUGGUGGUGAGUUACAGGCCUGCUAGGAGUACUCUGCAACCAGAUACUCUGUCUAUUGCUAGUCACGCAUCUCUACCAAAUAUAUGGACAGCCUGGCAAGCUAUUACCCCCUUAGUGGAAGAAUUGAAUGUACUGCUUCAAGAAUGGCCAGGUCUGUACUACACUGUGCACAUCCUCUGUUCCAAGUGCCUUAAAAGAGGAUUGCUGAACCCCUACGCUUUUCCAGGAGAAUUGCUGAGUCAGCCUAGACCAGAGGGAGUGACGGAGAUAAUCUGCCCCAGGAAUGGCAGCGAGCGAGUCAAUGUCGCCUUGGUUUACCCCCCAACCCCGACACUCAUCAGCCCUUGUUCCAAGUGAGCUCUGAGAGACGCACGGACCCCCAAUUUCAGUACACGCCAAAAACCCUACAUAAGACAAGCCCUCGCUAAGCAUUUUUGAAAACUAGCUGCCACAGAGCCCAGGGACUGUUCUAAUUAUUAGUGGGAUGUGGACAUCCCCUUCUCAGAAUAAAGAUGAAUGGUAAUGCUAGUGCUAAAGGUUUUAUAUCGGGCGGCGUGUGAAACUGCGGUGUGGCUGAAGGAUCUGUAGUGCUACUGUCUCUCUUGGGUUUGGAGUUCUGCCUUUACAAUGAGACCAGACUUUGGAACUCUGAACUAUUUGAAGUGGGAACACAGCUAAGUGUGUCUCUCCUGAGAUACCCUUGAGAACUUAAGUGUACAGUGCAAUCUGAAGGUCACUGAUGACCAGAUGUGACGUGAAACAAUAGUCUUGCAGCAAUCAGAUGGCAGCAUUAUUGGCUGGAGAUGAAACACUGGGAUUGAAAUUUUGUGGACCCUUUGAUUACCUGCUGUGCACCCAUUUGGACCUGUUGAUGAAUGUAAAAAUGUUCUCAGUGCUGUUUCAUUCAGAUGUAACUGAAGAAAAGUCAGUUGAGACUUGCUGUUGUGGAGCUUCAUGGAGUUGUUUCCUUACAGAGGAAGAAACUAGUGAUUUGUUGCUGUGAUAAGUGAGGAAAAGAAAACUCCAGACUGGAAUCUCUUUCCCAGCUGGAGGACCAUUUCCUGAUAACUCAGCGUGAUCUAUGGACACACUAACAAGAAGAGUUCAGAUGUUUUCAAGGAAUAAAUGCCGUGGCUUGGUAAAGCAGAACUGAGUAAAUGUUUUACACCUGAACCUCAGAAUCAUGAUCAUCCUCCAAGGAAGAGCUGCUUGACAAACGAACAGUGUGAACGGCUUCUCAGGGAUUCUGUUUGCUGUACACAAAUAGCCAUAAUGUCGGGAUUGAUGGCAGUAUUUAGAGCACUCCAGUUUGGUUCUAUUUCAUGUGGAAGCGGGAUCACUCAUCUGAAGUUCACUGCUGUUCAGUAACUAGUGUAGAACAAUGUGGUUUAUCUUUAUUUUUGUAAUGUGCAAAACCAUUUAAUUUUCUACACAGUUUAAAGCUUCUAGCAUU